rnacentral:rRNA from 1 species
UCGAGCGGCAGCGGGANNNAGCUUGCUACUUUGCCGGCGAGCGGCGGACGGGUGAGUAAUGUCUGGGAAACUGCCUGAUGGAGGGGGAUAACUACUGGAAACGGUAGCUAAUACCGCAUGACCUCGNAAGAGCAAAGUGGGGGACCUUCGGGCCUCACGCCAUCGGAUGUGCCCAGAUGGGAUUAGCUAGUAGGUGAGGUAAUGGCUCACCUAGGCGACGAUCCCUAGCUGGUCUGAGAGGAUGACCAGCCACACUGGAACUGAGACACGGUCCAGACUCCUACGGGAGGCAGCAGUGGGGAAUAUUGCACAAUGGGCGCAAGCCUGAUGCAGCCAUGCCGCGUGUGUGAAGAAGGCCUUAGGGUUGUAAAGCACUUUCAGCGAGGAGGAAGGGUUCAGUGUUAAUAGCACUGUGNAUUGACGUUACUCGCAGAAGAAGCACCGGCUAACUCCGUGCCAGCAGCCGCGGUAAUACGGAGGGUGCAAGCGUUAAUCGGAAUUACUGGGCGUAAAGCGCACGCAGGCGGUUUGUUAAGUCAGAUGUGAAAUCCCCGAGCUUAACUUGGGAACUGCAUUUGAAACUGGCAAGCUAGAGUCUUGUAGAGGGGGGUAGAAUUCCAGG